rnacentral:rRNA from 1 species
UUGAAGUCAGUCGUAUCUGCCAGGACUCAGCCUUGCUUCUGCUUGGUGCACUUUCUGGUCAGAUGGGCCAACAUCGAUUUUGACCGUUGGAAAAAGGCUUGGGGAAUGUGGCUGUCUUCGGGCAGUGUUAUAGCCUCUUGUCGUAUGUCUCGGUCGGGACUGAGGACUGCAGCGCGCCUUACGGCCGGGGUUCGCGCCCUCGGUACGCGCUUAGGAUGCUGGCAUAAUGGCUUUAAGCG